AAAGGCUUCAGCCUUUCAUUUUACCCGAGCCCCUCUCUCUCUCUCCUCAGAAACUCUCUCUCUCUCUCUCUCUCUCUCUCUCUCUCUCUCUCUCUCUGCGUGUUACUGUUGCCGACGACGCAGGAGUACUUUCCGGCCACCAUUUUUAGCCACGCGCCGGACCGUUGGAUUCAGAGGCCUCCGAACUAUCGACCCACGCGGGAAUCUAGAGCUCACUCGCCGAUUAAACGCCUCAACCACUCGAUUUAAGUUCGGCCACCCCGCGACUUCAAAGUUGCGAUUCGGCCACCUCGGGCAUCCGUUUGCCGAUCCGUCACCACCAUCGUGCUCCUCGUGUUGUGGGCUUCAAAACCCAAUAACUUGUUCCUACAUCUACCAUAGUUGGGUGGUGGGCCCACCACGAGCCACCGCGAUCCACCGUAGACCGACGGUCGAAACUUAGUGUUCGAGGUUCCGAAGUACGUUUUGAGUCUCAGAAAAUCAUCGUUUGACUUAUUGUGGAACCCGAUCAUUUUGGAUUUGUAUGGAUUUGAUUGAUUGACUCUUGGUGAGCCGUUUUAAAAUAAGCUAAGGACCUAAGGUGUGGCUUUAGCUGUUGAGCAACUUGUGGAGCACGGACUCAGUAGCAAUGCAAUAAUAGUUUAGAGUUUUCAUAUGGCUGCCUUAAAUUUAAAGUAUUCAUACGUGUAAUAAUUUCUUCUAAUAAGUUUAUAUAAAAGUUUAAAUUUUUCUGUA